rnacentral:rRNA from 1 species
CCAGAGAACUUUUCCAGAGAUGGAUUGGUGCCUUCGGGAACUCUGAGACAGGUGCUGCAUGGCUGUCGUCAGCUCGUGUUGUGAAAUGUUGGGUUAAGUCCCGCAACGAGCGCAACCCUUUAUCCUUUGUUGCCAGCGGUUAGGCCGGGAACUCAAAGGAGACUGCCAGUGAUAAACUGGAGGAAGGUGGGGAUGACGUCAAGUCAUCAUGGCCCUUACGAGUAGGGCUACACACGUGCUACAAUGGCGCAUACAAAGAGAAGCGACCUCGCGAGAGCAAGCGGACCUCAUAAAGUGCGUCGUAGUCCGGAUUGGAGUCUGCAACUCGACUCCAUGAAGUCGGAAUCGCUAGUAAUCGUGGAUCAGAAUGCCACGGUGAAUACGUUCCCGGGCCUUGUACACACCGCCCGUCACACCAUGGGAGUGGGUUGCAAAAGAAGUAGGUAGCUUAACCUUCGGGAGGGCGCUUACCACUUUGUGAUUCAUGACUGGGGUGAAGUCGUAACAAGGUAAGCGUAGUGCU